GCGUGAGGGAGGAGGCUCUUGGGUUGUAAACCUCUUUUCUUUGGGAAGAA
rnacentral:rRNA from 1 species